rnacentral:rRNA from 1 species
GUGUCAGCAGCCGCGGUAAGACAGAGGGUGCAAACGUUGUUCGGAAUUACUGGGCGUAAAGCGCGUGUAGGCGGUUCGGAAAGUCGGGUGUGAAAGCCCUGGGCUCAACCCAGGAAGUGCACUCGAAACUCCCGAGCUGGAGUCCUGGAGAGGAAGGCGGAAUUCUCGGUGUAGAGGUGAAAUUCGUAGAUAUCGAGAGGAACAUCGGUGGCGAAGGCGGCCUUCUGGACAGCGACUGACGCUGAGACGCGAAAGCGUGGGGAGCAAACAGGAUUAGAAACCCCUGUAGUCC